UACGUAGGGUGCAGGCGUUAAUCGGAAUUACUGGGCGUAAAGCGUGCGCAGGCGGUUUGCUAAGACAGGUGUGAAAUCCCCGGGCUUAACCUGGGAACUGCGCUUGUUACUGGCAGGCUUGAGUGUGGCAGAGGGGGGGUGGAAUUCCACGUGUAGCAGUGAAAUGCGUAGAGAUGUGGAGGAACACCGAUGGCGAAGGCAGCCCCCUGGGCCAAUACUGACGCUCAUGCACGAAAGCGUGGGGAGCAAACAGG
rnacentral:rRNA from 1 species